CAGUCGCCACGGUAAUACGAAGGUCCCAAGCGUUGUUCGGAAUCACUGGGCGUAAAGGGAGCGUAGGCGGCGUGGUAAGUCAGAUGUGAAAUCCCGGGGCUCAACCCCGGAACUGCAUCCGAUACUGCCAUGCUUGAGGGUUGGAGAGGUAGCUGGAAUUCUCGGUGUAGCAGUGAAAUGCGUGGAUAUCGAGAGGAACACUCGUGGCGAAGGCGAGCUACUGGACAACAACUGACGCUGAGGCUCGAAGGCCAGGGUAGCGAAAGGGAUUAGAUACCCCGGUAGUCCCUGUCUCUUAUAC
rnacentral:rRNA from 1 species